rnacentral:tRNA from 1 species
UGUAAAAUCAGCUAAAUCGCAAGCUAUUGGGUUCAUACCCCGAAAAUGAAUUAAAUUCUUUUACAG